CUGCCCAGACCAGACCCUUACUGUGAGCUGCCCAGGAGGAGACACAUCAUCCGCGAACAAUUGAGGGACGGCAACUGAUUUCAGAGUGUGACAUGAGUCCACGUGGAGUGAGCAUGGAGAGAGAUCCUGCCCAAAGUUGCUGGUGCACUGGUAGGAAAAUGGACAAAGACAUAAUGGACUGGAAAGGACAGUAGCGGCUCAGAGGAUGGUGAAACUAAUGAGCUGCGAACUCUGGAUGAGCUACCAUUUCCCCCUGUAGAUACGGACAAUGAGUAAUGAUUGACGGUUGUUUUUGUUUAACAAGUUGAGGUUCCCUCUCUCCAGCGCUCGACGUCGCCUGUCUACUAACCACCGGUCCUGGCAACCCACAUUACGCACACCUGGCAACCAUCAUAACGCACAC